AGAUUAAGCCAUGCAUGUCUCAGUGCAAGCCGUCCAGCACGGUGAAACCGCGAAAGGCUCAUUAAAUCAGUUAUGGUUCCUUAGAUUGUACCCACGUUACUUGGAUAACUGUGGUAAUUCUAGAGCUAAUACAUGCCGACAGAGUUCCGACCAGCGUCGGUCGCGGCAACGCGGCUCGRCGUUCGGAAGGAACGCUCUUAUUAGAUCAAAACCGGUCAAGCGGUCGUUCGCGCUUCGGCGUGUUCGGCCGUCAGUGGCCCGCGCAAAGACUUGACGACUCUGAAUAAUUUUGAGCUGAUCGCACGGUCUCGUACCGGCGACGUAUCUUUCAAAUGUCUGCCUUAUCAACUGUCGACGGUAGGUUCGACGCCUACCGUGGUGGUAACGGGUAACGGGGAAUCAGGGUUCGAUUCCGGAGAGGGAGCCUGAGAAACGGCUACCACAUCUAAGGAAGGCAGCAGGCGCGCAAAUUACCCACUCCCAGCUCGGGGAGGUAGUGACGAAAAAUAACGAUACGGGACUCAUCCGAGGCCYCGUAAUCGGAAUGAGUACACUUUAAAACCUUGGUCACACGAGGAUCAAU
rnacentral:rRNA from 1 species